GUCUCUUUGAUUUUGUUUUAUAAAGAGUUGGGCCUGCUCAGUGAUAUUUUUUAACAGCUGCGGUGUUAUAACUGUACUAAGGUAGCAUAAUAAUUUGCCUUAUAAAUUAGGGCUAGAAUGAAUGGUUUGACGAGAGUUAUACUGUCUCUAUUUUAAUUGUUAGAAGUUAAUUUUUAUAGUGAAAAAGCUUGGAUGGUUUAAAGGGACGAGAAGACCCUGUUGAGCUUAAUAUAUAUAUAUAUAUAUAUAUAUAUAUUUGGUUGGGGUGAUCAAGGAAUAAAAUGUAAAUAGUUUAACUUCCUUAAAAAUUUUUUUUUGUUAGGAUAAUAAACCAAUUUAUUGCUUUAAUGAUAAGUUACCAUAGGGAUAACAGCGUAAUUUUUUUAGAGAGUUCUUAUUGAAAAAAAAGAUUGCGACCUCGAUGUUGGAUUAAAAUAACCAUUAGGUGUAGAUGCUUUAUUUGGUGAAUCUGUUCGAUUUUUAAAAUUUUACA
rnacentral:rRNA from 1 species